UUGGAGGGCAAGUCUGGUGCCAGCAGCCGCGGUAAUUCCAGCUCCAAUAGCGUAUAUUAAAGUUGUUGCAGUUAAAAAGCUCGUAGUUGAAUUUCGGGGUUAGUACGUUGGUCGUGCCUUCGGUACGUACUGGUGUUACUGAUUCCUACCUUCUGACGAACCAUCAUGUCAUUAAUUUGGUGUGGUGGGGAAUCAGGACUGUUACUUUGAAAAAAUUAGAGUGUUUAAAGCAGGCUCGCGCUUGAAUACAUUAGCAUGGAAUAAUGAAAUAGGACGUUGACCCUAUUUUGUUGGUUUCUAGGAUUGACGUAAUGAUUAAUAGGGAUGGUUGGGGGCAUUAGUAUUCAAUUGUCAGAGGUGAAAUUCUUGGAUUUAUUGAAGACUAACUACUGCGAAAGCAUUUGCCAAGGAUGUUUUCAUUAAUCAAGAACGAAAGUUAGGGGAUCGAAGGCGAUCAGAUACCGUCGUAGUCUUAACCAUAAACUAUGCCGACUAGGGAUCGGAUGAUGUUAUUUUUAAUGACUCAUUCGGCGCCUUACGGGAAAC
rnacentral:rRNA from 1 species